AGUUCUAAGACAAAUUGAUAUUAUCAAAGAACAAGGAAAUGACAAACCAGCUAUAUCAGACAGCCUCGGGAGAUUGGACUAUGCACUAGGUCUUGCUGCAUUAUUUUUGAAUCCUUACAUAAAGCCUCCCAUAGCUGUCGGUAUCACUGGUUCUUGGGGUACGGGAAAAUCUAGCCUAAUGCUCCAGACCGAGCGCAUUUUAGUAACAACAGCAGCUCAGAUGAUAUUGUUGCCAUCCUCAAAAUUAUCAAGCUCAGAUUUACAAUUACCUGCUAUUAAACCAUGUGAAUUUUCAAGAAAGGGGAAAAGUAUAUGUGAACACAUUUACAGACAGAUAAAAUGUGGAAAACGAAUAAAUAGAAACAUUUUUCUAAUGUUGUGGGAUUACAUUAGAAGCAUGUUAGGACAAA